GAACAAAAGAAGUAUCACUGGAGAGUGAGUAACCCAAGUCUUUGAUAUAUUGGAUGGUAGGAGCUCUGGAGGAAAAUUUUAGCUCUGUGACAAUAGUUGGUUCUAUUGUCACAAAACAUUAUUGAGGAUUUUAAAAUUUCCAUAAUUUUGAAGUUGAACGCAGUUCAAUAAUCAACCGAAUAUUUUUAUUUAUUUAUUUAUUAAAUGUGAUUCAUGUUCCAUCUGCUGUUAUUUCAAAAGAUAGAAUGUCAAACCAUUUUUCUAAUA
rnacentral:misc_RNA from 1 species